CUUCGUAUUUUGAAUAUAAUAUUUUUGGAUAGUAUGGUUGUGCUGUAUGUCGAAUUUGGGGGACGUGACAGCGGGGUAAACGAAGCUAAGUAGGAGUCAGCAUUUUCUUCCUCUUCUUCUCUAAGCUGCGUCACUGAUCUUUAUUUGGUAAGCGUACAGAAUUCAGAUCAGUUUUUGUGUAUAUGGGUUCUUUUUCAGCUCAAACCAUCUUUGCUUCUUAGUCUUUUAGAAGCUCUCAGAAAUUCUUUCUCCCCCUUCUCUUUGAGCGUAGAAGCUUCCUUCGGCGUCACCUCCCUCUCAUUUUCUUCUUCUUCUCUCUCUUUCUCCCUCUCUCUUUCUUCCUCUCUCCGGCCACUGGGCUGAUGCUGUUCCUCUCUCUCCUCUUUCUCGCUCUCUAUCUCUCUCCGUUCCUCUGUUCCUCUCUCCCCUCUCUUUCUCCCUCUCUUCCCCCCAUCUUUUUCUUCUCGUGCUCUUCCCGUGAGAUGGCGAGGUCUUCCUUCUCCGAUCUUCCUUCUCCAGUUGUUCUCCGGUCUCCGGCUCCGAUUUGGGAGAAGGUUGUCGUCGUGACCCCGUUCUACCUCGGCGGC
rnacentral:lncRNA from 1 species